UGGGGGAUAUUGCACAAUGGGGGAAACCCUGAUGCAGCGACGCCGCGUGAGUGAAGAAGUAUUUCGGUAUGUAAAGCUCUAUCAGCAGGGAAGAAAAUGACGGUACCUGACUAAGAAGCCCCGGCUAACUACGUGCCAGCAGCCGCGGUAAUACGUAGGGGGCAAGCGUUAUCCGGAUUUACUGGGUGUAAAGGGAGCGUAGACGGCAAGACAAGCCAGAUGUGAAAGGCAGGGGCUCAACCCCUGGACUGCAUUUGGAACUGCCUGGCUAGAGUGUCGGAGAGGUAAGUGGAAUUCCUAGUGUAGCGGUGAAAUGCGUAGAUAUUAGGAGGAACACCAGUGGCGAAGGCGGCUUACUGGACGACAACUGACGUUGAGGCUCGAAAGCGUGGGGAGCAAACAGG
rnacentral:rRNA from 2 species